GACUAUGGCCAUGCCACCCUGAAAAAGCCUAAUGUCUGAUCUCGGAAACUAAUCAGGGUUGCGCCUGGUUAGUACUUGGAUGGGAGAC
rnacentral:rRNA from 1 species